AUUUCUCGAUAUUUCCACCCCCCCUCUUCAAACCCCUGCGAAACCUAUAGAACAUAGAUAGACCUCCCACCUGCGAAACGUGUAGCAUAUAGACAGAUCAUCAUUAUGUAUUCGUAGAUAAUGAAGGAACGAACAGCGCGCGCCUACACUGAUUUCGAGUGGUGCUCGGUACUCGGAAAUGGCGGCCGAUCGUGGGCCAAUUGUCGAACCGAGUGCAGUAUGCGCGAUACGCUCCAAGCACUACCGCGAUUAACAUAACAACAAUAUCUGCUUUGCUAAAACCGUGCAACAAAUUAAUCUAUUCUGUGCUUAAACCGCGUAGUAUUGAAACCA